UGCAGUCGAGCGCCUGUAGCAAUACAGGAGCGGCAGACGGGUGAGUAACGCGUGGGAACGUACCCUUUGGUUCGGAACAACACAGGGAAACUUGUGCUAAUACCGGAUAAGCCCUUACGGGGAAAGAUUUAUCGCCGAAGGAUCGGCCCGCGUCUGAUUAGCUUGUUGGUGAGGUAACGGCUCACCAAGGCUACGAUCAGUAGCUGGUCUGAGAGGAUGAUCAGCCACACUGGGACUGAGACACGGCCCANACUCCUACGGGAGGCAGCAGUGGGGAAUAUUGGACAAUGGGCGAAAGCCUGAUCCAGCCAUGCCGCGUGAGUGAUGAAGGCCCUAGGGUUGUAAAGCUCUUUCGGCGGGGAAGAUAAUGACGGUACCCGCAUAAGAAGCCCCGGCUAACUUCGUGCCAGCAGCCGCGGUAAUACGAAGGGGGCUAGCGUUGCUCGGAAUCACUGGGCGUAAAGGGUGCGUAGGCGGGUCUUUAAGUCAGGGGUGAAAUCCUGGAGCUCAACUCCAGAACUGCCUUUGAUACUGAGGAUCUUGAGUUCGGGAGAGGUGAGUGGAACUGCGAGUGUAGAGGUGAAAUUCGUAGAUAUUCGCAAGAACACCAGUGGCGAAGGCGGCUCACUGGCCCGAUACUGACGCUGANGCACGAAAGCGUGGGGAGCAAACAGGAUUAGAUACCCUGGUAGUCCACGCCUUAANNGAUGAAUGCCAGCCGUUGGUGGGUUUACUCACCAGUGGCGCANCUAACGCUUUAAGCAUUCCGCCUGGGGAGUACGGUCGCAAGANUAAAACUCAAA
rnacentral:rRNA from 1 species